CUUCCUGCUAGUUGCCACAAACCCGUAGAUCCGAACUUGUGCUUCUAUGUUACACAAGCUUGUGUCUAUAGGUAUGUGUCUGCUUGGCCAAUUCA
ensembl:miRNA aca-mir-100 aca-mir-100